CUCAAUUGACCCACGUCCAGCUUUACCAAAUUAAUUGCAUGAAGGUGGCACAUCCAUAAACGUUACACAACAGAUGUCAUGUAUCUAAUAAAAGACUAGAACAUAAUAAAACAAUAUAAAUAAGUAAAUGAUUUAUAGCCUGACUCAUUUUCUCUAGACUUUAGACUCUAAACUCAGAAUUUGGCACACAAAACUAAUAGAAAUUGAGGCAAGCUUUACUUGUCAUAUUCCAGCCACCAGGGACGUACAGCUCGCUGGGCACACGGAGAGACUCAACUUGGGCAGUUUGCUGGGUAAAAUCCACUGCUACUGAUAAUGUCCGUGGAAAUUCACGGCACGUUCAAAACCUCUGGCUCCUCAGCAGCAGUCGAAGAUCCAGAAACAGCCACAGCGAGUGUGGCAGCAGAGGGUGUCGCAUCAACUGGCAAUGACAAGAAAAGCGGAUCAUUCGGGGUCUCGCUGUUCGUCAAUGCCCUCAUUCAGAUAGGAAUUGGAGGAUAUUUCCACCAUGACUGCCCGGCCCAGCCCUACAUUCCCAUCUACAUGGAGGUACUGGGAACCGUCACAAUUGUAACAGUGAUUUCUUAUUGGUGGUAUAAGGACAGCCCCAAGAACUACCUGGUCAUCACAAUCUUGACUUUGGGCCUUCUCUUCUGCUUUUGCUUCUUCAUCACUGGUAAGUUCAAAAGAUGGAACAGUAGACAGACCAAUUUAAUUCAAAUGAAAAUAUAAAUAUAUUAGCUGAAAUGUGAGUGUUGCACAUGUUUCUUAUGAUUGUUGACUAAGUGGAUAGCUGUUAACAAGCCACUAGAUGGCCCCCUAAUGCCUCUACAUGAUCCUCACAACAUUGCUAGAAACAGACUUAAGAAUUUGUCAACACAAUUGUAUAGAAUCUUUUUAGAUUAGAAGAUAGAAUAUGAAAAUAU
rnacentral:lncRNA from 1 species